rnacentral:rRNA from 1 species
AGUGAACGCUGGCGGUAGGCCUAACACAUGCAAGUCGAACGGCAGCACAGUAAGAGCUUGCUCUUACGGGUGGCGAGUGGCGGACGGGUGAGGAAUACAUCGGAAUCUACUUUUUCGUGGGGGAUAACGUAGGGAAACUUACGCUAAUACCGCAUACGACCUACGGGUGAAAGCAGGGGAUCUUCGGACCUUGCGCGAUUGAAUGAGCCGAUGUCGGAUUAGCUAGUUGGCGGGGUAAAGGCCCACCAAGGCGACGAUCCGUAGUUGGUCUGAGAGGAUGAUCAGCCACACUGGAACUGAGACACGGUCCAGACUCCUACGGGAGGCAGCAGUGGGGAAUAUUGGACAAUGGGCGCAAGCCUGAUCCAGCCAUACCGCGUGGGUGAAGAAGGCCUUCGGGUUGUAAAGCCCUUUUGUUGGGAAAGAAAAGCAGCAGGUUAAUACCCCGCUGUUCUGACGGUACCCAAAGAAUAAGCACCGGCUAACUUCGUC